GAGGGUAAAACUCAGUGAUAUAGCACAUGCUUAGCAUGCAUGAGGUCCUGAGUUCAAUCCCCAGUACCUCCA
rnacentral:tRNA from 1 species